rnacentral:lncRNA from 1 species
CUGUGAGCCUCUUUGUUUUUAUCUUAUGUUCCAAAAUAUUGUCAUUACUCACAAUUCUCCCCCUGGCCUCUUUAUCUUUUCCUUUAGACAAUCUCUUUUCCCAAUUGCAUGUAUUUCCAAGCUUGAACUGUUUCCUGUAUGAUGAUAACAGUGGAAUGUGGUUUUCCAGCCCAGCCCAGAUUUUUCAUCCAAGAUUUAAGCAUUGUCUAUCAAAUCUUCAAAAAGUCAACAUGCCCCAAUUCUACUCAUGCUGUUUAAACGGCAGUACUAUCUCUUCAACACCCAAGUCAGAAACCUGGUGUCCAGUAACUCCAAGGACGGGGAUGAUGUCUUUUCAUCCCUUGCGAGCGCCUGUGACCCUCAGGCAGGUUCGUGCCUGAAGCCCUUGUUUACCUUCGCAACAGAGAUGGAGGGGAGACUGGAAAGUGGGAAUUCCUAAAGGAAACUGGUUUUCCUUCUGGUUUGCCCGACCAGACUCUAAUCAACCUGAUGGAUGCAGCC